CUCGCGAGAGUCUCGUAUUCCCGCUCUAGGACAGAGCUUCCGUUAGCCACCUGCGCGCAUGCGCAAGGCGAGGCCCGGACAAGGGGUACGGAGAAGGCGGGAGCCGUUGCAGCGAUGCGCGCCUGGAUGUGUUACUGCCCCGAGGAUUAGCGCGCUCCCGGCACAGCUGCCAGUCCCCUUGUGGCUGGGGAUCCGCUGCGUGAGGAGGGUCGGGAACAGCCUAGCUACGGUGCAGUGGAUACCACGUACAGGGGUGAUGCCCAGGACCUUCCACUCUCCGGCUGAUUUAGAGCCUUUGAGGAGGAGCACUGGGAAGUCCAGACAACUGUUGGAUUUCGUUGCUGGCAAGGAGGCCCUGUGGGAUGAUGGACUCCAGGAAUGCAGGAUGGCAGGAAUGGUGGUGACAGGCCACCUUUUCCUCAGUCUCACUGUGGGACUGGUGGUAUUCUUCACUCUUCAGCUCUGGAGCACUUUGAAGACCCAACUGUGUACGUACUGUCACUGGGGUGGACAGCCUUGCGCAGGCACUGAACAAGUCCUUAUAUCACUUUUGUGGCAGGAAAAGUUCUGAGGAGAUGGAAUGCUGAGGGCUGGUUUUGGCGGGAAAAACUGGUUUUGACUGGUUUAAGCCUGUGUCUUGAUGGUAAACAAGUCCACUCUUAGAGAUGGAGUCCAAGGGUCAAUAGUUCAUAUACUCCAUAUUGGAUCUUAUUUUAAAGCCAGUGAUUUACUUCAUAAACAACUAAUUGAACAUAUUAAACAGUUUACUUCUUACACCUAACAGUAUGUUAGUCCAAUACUGCCACUGUGAUCAGGCUGAAGCACCUGGUGUGUGUGUGUUUGUUUUUUAUGGUGAAACUGCUGUCAGGGAACUCUCUUCUUGUUAAACUUUGUGCCCCAAGCAAACGGUAAAACAUUUCCUUUCCUGCAACAAGUGUGUGUCUUGUUCUGGGAAAGAGCUUUAUGGAAAAGAAAUAUAGAGCAGCUACAGUGCCCUGCUGGCAUAGAAAUGGACUGGAAAUUUUAUUCAUUAUUUAUUAAUGUAAAACAGAAGCUAUAUAAAUCCAGCUUUUUCCACAC